rnacentral:rRNA from 1 species
CCGCCCGUCGCUUCAUCGAAGUUGGUUUUAGGCGAGGUGGUGCGAUAUUGGCAUUAUCGAACCUGAGAUCAGCAACGAGGGAG